rnacentral:rRNA from 1 species
UACGUAGGGAGCGAGCGUUGUCCGGAUUCAUUGGGCGUAAAGAGCUCGUAGGCGGCCUGUUGCGUCCGCUGUGAAAUCCCGGGGCUCAACCCCGGGCCUGCAGUGGAUACGGGCUGGCUAGAGGCAGGCAGGGGAGAACGGAAUUCCUGGUGUAGCGGUGAAAUGCGCAGAUAUCAGGAGGAACACCGGUGGCGAAGGCGGUUCUCUGGGCCUGUACUGACGCUGAGGAGCGAAAGCGUGGGGAGCGAACAGG